AUUGAACGCUGGCGGCAGGCCUAACACAUGCAAGUCGAGCGGAUGAAGGGAGCUUGCUCCUGGAUUCAGCGGCGGACGGGUGAGUAAUGCCUAGGAAUCUGCCUGGUAGUGGGGGAUAACGUCCGGAAACGGGCGCUAAUACCGCAUACGUCCUGAGGGAGAAAGUGGGGGAUCUUCGGACCUCACGCUAUCAGAUGAGCCUAGGUCGGAUUAGCUAGUUGGUGGGGUAAAGGCCUACCAAGGCGACGAUCCGUAACUGGUCUGAGAGGAUGAUCAGUCACACUGGAACUGAGACACGAUCCAGACUCCUACGGGAGGCAGCAGUGGGGAAUAUUGGACAAAGGGCGAAAGCCUGAUCCAGCCAUGCCGCGUGUGUGAAGAAGGUCUUCGGAUUGUAAAGCACUUUAAGUUGGGAGGAAGGGCAGUAAGUUAAUACCUUGCUGUUUUGACGUUACCAACAGAAUAAGCACCGGCUAACUUCGUG
rnacentral:rRNA from 1 species